UACGAGAGGCCCAAACGUUAUUCGGAUUUACUGGGCUUAAAGAGUUCGUAGGCGGUGCAGUAAGUGGGGUGUGAAAGCCCUCGGCUCAACCGAGGAAUUGCGCUCCAAACUACUGUACUAGAGGAAGCUAGAGGUGAGCAGAACAGAUGGUGGAGCGGUGAAAUGCGCAGAUAUCAGGAAGAACACCCGUGGCGAAGGCGGCUCUCUGGGACGGUACUGACGCUGAGACGCGAAAGCGUGGGGAGCGAACAGG
rnacentral:rRNA from 1 species